UUAAUCAAAACCAAAUUAGAGGUAUAUUACUGUUAAUAAUAUUAGUGAAUUAAUAUUCUGAUUAAU
rnacentral:tRNA from 1 species